GAAACUCAGUUCUGCGUGUACUUUCCACCAGGCCAAAUGGUGGAAUACCAACUGAGAACUUUGUGUUACUGUCAGCAAAUGCCAGCUAAAAGAAUCAGGUAACAAUGAAAAAGGUGGAAACAGAUCCUCUCUAUCCUUGCAUGUGCUCAUUCUGAGUAGGGCUGAGUAGUUCAUGGACGUGGGAAGAGAGCUGUCGCGGAAGAUACAGGAAGUCAGGCCACAAGCCGGCCUCACUGUCCUGCUAAAGGCAUGCCCACUCUGCACGACACUCACGUGGCCCAAACCCCUGGCACAGCCAUUCUCUCCUGACCACCCCCGGCGCAAAACUCUUUGAACAUGUCUCCCUCCUCAUCUUGUCAAAAUCCUCCUCCUGAGUGCCUGGGAAGCUGUCAGUGUGAUCUAUAACCCCCAGGCAGACUUGGAAUAUGAGCUAAAUUGCCUGAGUCACUAGCAAUGAUAGAGUCAUUCUGCAGGAAAUUGGAAAUCAAUUCUUGUCAUCACCGUACAGAGGUCCUUUAUCAAGAGUUCCGGCUCACCAUGUAAUGCGACCAAGAAGGACUUGAGGGCUGACACAACAGCAGCAUGAAGGGAAAGGGCCAUGUGUGUGUGUGUGUGUGCUACAACAUGACAUGGUCCAAGAUCCCAGCAUCCAGAAGAUGGAGACAUCAUAGUGAGGGGAGGCUGUGGACCACACUAUGCAUCCUUUGUGAAGUCAACGUGACCAUGAGAAACUCUUCUUGGAGCCCGCUGCCUGCCCUCCCUGCACUGAAUGAGCACAAAACCCGGGACAGCAAUAGUGUCCCUCUACCUGCCUAGGAUAGCAACCAGGAAUUCUCAGGGGUGUCAGCCCCACCAAGAGCACAAGGGCUUGGCUUGGCUUUCGGUUUCCAAUAGGCAUGGCCUACAUCAUUACAGCCUGUGUUUUGUAUUUUAAGAAGCAACAUGACCAGAAGAGUCACCCAACCCAUCUCAGCUUAGCCUCUGACUCUGACUCACAUUCACAAUAGCAGAAAAAGAGCUCAAUGUCUCUGAAUCUCCUUCGUCUACCUAAGGAAUCUUGUCUCCCAGUCCGAACACGAUGCCCUCCGGGAUGGGCCGCUGCAGUGUCCUGAGUGUCCAGGCUCAUGCUGUGCAUUAGCAGCCAGGAGAGGAUGGAGCGGCCUUGGAUGGGAACAAAGAUGACCCUCCAAACACUACGGCCACACGGUUCUACUCUGCUUAGAAGCUCACUGGCAUGGCAGGCAGAAAAAAAGAAGACACAGAGCUGGGCAAAGUGGCGCACACCUGGAA